rnacentral:lncRNA from 1 species
CUCCCUCUCUCCCUCCCUUCCUACUAAAAACCAAUAAGGCUAGGGAGCCUAUCUGCAUAGUUCUGUGAAUGUCUCGGAACAAAGCAAUACACAGAAGCUAAUGCUCUCAUCCUGUGUAAGAUACAAAUCUUGUCACAUCAUGGACCAUCGUGGAGCAUGAAGCUAUUUCUAAUGUGAUGGGGGAAAUGUUUCUAGCAGAAGAGCAAGACAUGGUCCUGGUGCAUGAAAGGAGCCUAAGAAAGAAGAGUGAAAGCUGCACGUGUGUGAGUAUCUAGCAGAACAUCUAGAAAAUGCACACCAACCUCCAGCAGCAGAAAACAGUCUACCUCCAGAAAGCCAUAAAAGAGAAAAGAAUGUUGUACCAAACUAAGCAAAUGAAGCAUGAAAUGAAAAGCCGGUUGAGCUGGGAGGUAUAAAGAAUGGAAAGGAAGCAGCUACCACCCCUGGUAACCCCAUCAAUCCGGAGAAGCUUCGCAGAGUUACACUGUGCUCUGUCGGAGGAAGUCUAAAAUAACACAUGGGUGUCUCGGCCUUGGCACAGCUAAACCCUGGAACAUUGAACUGAAGUCAUAACAAUGGGUAAUAUUUUAAUAUAAUGAAAAAUUAUCAUUAACUUUUCUCGACAGGAAGGAAAUGAAUUUUCCUCAUUGUACACAUUCCGAGAAAAAUGAGGCUAAGACUAUUUCAAAGGAUGUUCUACCUAAUUCGAAUGGGCUUUAAGUGCCAUCUUCACAAUAGCGCCAGAGUCUGGUGUCAGCAAACUGAACAAAUAGAGCUACAGGGAGCGAAUGGGGCUGGGUGCCUCUCCAAAACAUAUGCAGAUGAACUUGAGAUUUCAGAGGACGGUUAAUCCUACACAGCAGUCAAGUGCCUUCCCAGGGGGCUCCCUUCCAAACACUGGCUGCCACGUCAAACCAAAGGGGACGAGCAAUCAGACUCACCUCAAACGCCAGUUAAGAAAGCCGGCCUUACUUAAGCAAUCAAGGGCAAGUGAUCAGCCAACUCUGCUUUCUUUCCUUUCUCUUGGAUCAUUUAUAGACCUUGUGGCCGUGGCCACCACAUUGAGAAGCCCUUGGUCUCUACUUGGACUCACUAUAGCAGGU